GACGAACGCUGGCGGCGUGCUUAACACAUGCAAGUCGAGCGGAAAGGCCACUUCGGUGGUACUCGAGCGGCGAACGGGUAAGUAACACGUGAGUAAUCUGCCCUUCACUCUGGGAUAGCCACCGGAAACGGUGAUUAAUACCGGAAAUGACACGCGACCGCAUGGUCUGCGUGCGGAAACUUUGUUGGGUGGGGGAUGUGCUCGCGGCCUAGCGGAUUGGUGGUGGGGUAAUGGCCUAACAAGGCGUCGACGGGUAGCCGGCCUGAGAGGGUGACCGGCCACACUGGGACUGAGACACGGCCCAGACUCCUACGGGAGGCAGCAGUGGGGAAUAUUGGACAAUGGGCGGAAGCCUGAUCCAGCAACGCCGCGUGAGGGAUGACGGCCUUCGGGUUGUAAACCUCUUUCAGCACCGACGAAGCGCAAGUGACGGUAGGUGCAGAAGAAGGACCGGCCAACUACGUGCCAGCAGCCGCCGUAACAC
rnacentral:rRNA from 1 species